rnacentral:rRNA from 1 species
UACAGAGGUCUCAAACGUUGUUCGGAUUCAUUGGGCGUAAAGGGUGCGUAGGCGGCGUGGUAAGUCGGAUGUGAAAUCUCGGAGCUUAAACUCCGAAACUGCAUUCGAUACUGCCGUGCUUGAGGACUGGAGAGGAGACUGGAAUUUACGGUGUAGCGGUGAAAUGCGUAGAUAUCGUAAGGAAGACCAGUGGCGAAGGCGGGUCUCUGGACAGUUCCUGACGCUGAGGCACGAAGGCCAGGGGAGCAAACGGG